AUAUAUCCCUUUUCCUAGUUGGCAUAAUUUCAAACAUGUUUUACAUCCACUGACAAAACUAUAAAGCAUUUGCACAUAUAUUUCUAUCAUAAUAUACAAACGAAUGUUGUCCGAAUUAAGUUGAUUCUAUCCAUAUCAUCCGGGGCGACCAUCAACAAACCACAAUUUUGGGACCUUUAUUUUGAAAAACAUCUCAAGGAUGGGAUAUUGCAUCAGCUAGACACAAGUGAAGACACCCUGGAAUCAACUGUAAGAUGGCAAGAUUAACAAGCAAAGAGAAGACUGCUCGUCAUAGACAGAAAGUCAACUCCGACCCUGCAGCAAGAGCAGAGUAUCUUGCAAGGAAAAGAGAGAGCUACCAAAAAAGAAAGCAUGAGGGAAAGAUUUCAUAUGUGAAGUCAGAUGAGUUAUCAGAGAGGGAGAGGAAUAAUCUGAGAAACAAGUGGAAGGCUGCAUCCAGAGGAUACAGGGAGAGAAGAAAGAUGGAGAAGGCAAUGUUGGACCUGACACCUCAAUCCAUAGAGAACACUCUGCCAGAUCCAGCAGGUGUAGAAGGAGUGGAGGGGCAGCAAGAGAGUCCAGGGGUGUGUGUGGUGGUGGAUGCUCCACCUCAAAAUGAGGAUUUCCAUCCACAGAUGUCCUCCACACCAGAGAGAAAAGAUAGAGAAAA